rnacentral:rRNA from 1 species
AACGCUAGCGGCAGGCUUAAUACAUGACAAGUCGAGGGCAUCAAGGUACACGAAGUGUAUUGUUGGCGACCGGCGGACGGGUGAGUAAUAGGUAGGUAACCUACCUCAUACUGAGGCAUAGCUGGGAGAAAUUCCAGGUAACCCUUCUCAUGAGGUUAUAUGACACAUGUGAUAUAAUCAAAGGUAUCGCAAGGUACUGGUAUGAGAUGGGCUUACUGACCAUUAGCUAGUUGGUGAGAUAAGAGCUCACCAAGGCGAAGAUGGUUAGGGGUUUUGAGAGAGAGAUCCCCCACAUUGGAACUGAGAUACGGUCCAGACUCCUACGGGAGGCAGCAGUAGGGAAUAUUGGGCAAUGGGCGGAAGCCUGACCCAGCCAUGCCGCGUGAAGGAAGACGGCCUUAUGGGUUGUAAACUUCUUUACUAUGCGACUAACUAGAUUUACGAGAUAAUUCUAUAGAAUGUAGCAUAGCAAAAAGCACCGGCUAACUCCGUG